GCGGUGAUAGUCCUAAGGCUCGCCCUCAGUUCUUCAUUGUCAGCUAGGAGCUGAGCGUUUAUGGCCGCUUGGUCUUGACCUACAUCUCCCAUGGUUCUCUGAAAAGAUACUCAAGAAAGAUUAAAAGGCAAGAGGGGGGGUUAAAUAGUUGCUUGGGUCGGAUACUUGGAGUAUCGACCAAGACUAGGAGUGAAUGCAAAAAGUUAAGACAAAAUCGAAUCUAGUUUGAAAAAGGAAAGAGGAAUAUUUUUUUUUUUAUUUUCGAAAACUUGGAAAGAAAGUAAAACUACUUAAAUUUUUUUUUUUUUAAAUGUAAAAAUCGAAAACUUGGAGAACAAACCGAAAAUUUAAAAAUAAGGAAAGUAAAUAUUUUGUUUUGAAUGUGACGGCUAGGGUUCAGAAAGAACUGAGUUUUGCAGGAAACUUCAGCUCUAAUACCAAAAUGUUGUAGGCACGGGUCGGAGGGUCGAACGGAUGGACGGACGGACGGACGGAUGGCCGUUCC
rnacentral:lncRNA from 1 species